rnacentral:rRNA from 1 species
UACAGAGGUCUCAAGCGUUGUUCGGAAUCACUGGGCGCAAAGGGUGCGUAGGCCGCACGGUAAGUCAGAGGUGAAAUCCCGGAGCUCAACUUCGGAAUUGCCUCCGAUACUGCCGUGCUUGAGGACUGGAGAGGAGAUUGGAAUUCACAGUGGAGCAGUGAAAUGCGUAGAUAUUGUGAGGAACACUAGUGGCGAAGGCGAAUCUCUGGACAGUUCCUGACGCUGAGGCACGAAGGCCAGGGGAGCAAACGGG